rnacentral:lncRNA from 10 species
GGAGAGUCCUCAGAGAGUCCUCUCUCUCGGCAUGGACACAAAAGAAAAGCCAUGUGAGGACACAGAGAGAAGGUGGCUGUCUACGAGCUAGGAAGAAAGGCCUCACCGGAAACCAACCCUCACAGCAGCUCCAUCUUGGACUUCCAGCCUCCGGAACUGUGAGAAAAUAAAUGUUUGCAAUUCAGGUCGGGGAGCUCCACCCAGCAGCAGCGUUUGACAGAGCUGUUCACUUCCUCUUCCUGGAGCUGUGGCUUCCAGAGCCCAUGCUCAGCAGUUCCCCUCCUUCUUCGACUGCUCCUCUCUUAGGCUCAGAGCCACUCAGACAUUGGGAAGCAAGUUUGUCAAGAUGACAGAGAACCGAGGUAAUGGAUUCGAGUGAUGAAACAGGAAGUUCAUUCAUGAGUUUUUGGCCACACCUCCAAAGUGACGACUUAGCCAGAAAUGGGAUAACUGGGUUUCCCUACUUCUCUUUUAUCAUCCUCAAUGAGAGUGACCAAAUAUUAGAGCUAGAUGGAACCUUAGUGAAAAUCUGGCUACUCGUCCCGUCCCACCAGCCUGCCACCCAUUUCAAGUUUGAAGAGACAAAGACACAUGGACCUUAUGUAAUUACUGGGGAUUACCCCAGGAGUCUGUGGCAAAAGUCAGCUUCUUCCCUCCCUGCUUCCCCGCCCUGUCUCUGGUACUUUCUACCAACACUGGGCUGUUUCUGUGAUCACACUUAAGCGUACCUAACCUGCGAAUGCUGUAUAGAAGGUGCUAAUGAACAUGAUUUAGCUUUAACACUCAGUUUUCUAAAGGGACACGUGGGGGCAGCAAAUGUUUAGGCAAAAACAAUUCCAGUUCUAGCCUCUACUGUCUACAUAUGUGUAUACAUUUGGGAAACGUUUGGGAAAGGGAUAUUUGAGAGCUUCUUUUUCUUUUUUGUGGUUUAGUUAUUUGAUGAUAUUGAGAUUGUUUCUGAGCCAUGUGCUUCAACAUCGGAUUGGGGAUUUCAGAAAAAGUUUUAGUCACUGUGAUUCCAUUUAGCUUCCAAAUGUGUCUCUGCUAAGAGACUUAAAAGCACUCAUAAAUAGCACGUGUGUCUUCUUUGCAGUGUUUGCUAAUUUUGAGUCACAUCUUUUUAGAAAAUCAUGAGAUUUGGUGUCACAGAGACUGGAAUAAAUAUAGUCAAACUUAUUGGUGAAGAUUUCCUUUAGCUGUUUUCAUAAUCCAUUUCCAUUGUUAUGAUUAUUGAUGAAUAAAACAUUUUCUUUAGGUAGAUACUUCUUUUUUCCCCCCACCUUGAUUUAAUGUUUCCACUCUUAUUGUCAAGUUUCUUAUUACUCCCUAAUAACUCUCAAUAAAAUAAUGAUUCCUGGGAGAUUAUUCCUGCUUUCCUACUAUCACCUGUUGAUUUGAAAAGACAGAACAAUACCGUAGAAGCUUCACUAAUACAUUGAAAGAUAAAAUGAUAAUACUAAAUACUAAAAUAUGAAAAGUGAUACUAAAAGUGGAGUCCUGGCACUAGUAUUUUUUUUUUUGAGUCUUUAAAUUUUAUUUAUUUAUUUUUGAAUUUUUUAAAAUUAUAUGUUAUGUUCUGGGAUACAUGUGCAGAACGUGCAGGUUUGUUACAUAGGUAUACAGGUCUGGCACUAGUAUUUUGUUGCCACAAAAUAUCAAGCAUGUAUCCAAACUGCUCAAGACACAUUAAAGACACAGGUAAUCUGUAGGCAUAUUCAGGCUUGUAGUUUGCAUUUUUUGGUUUUCUUGUGGCUUUCAGUGCAAGUUGAGGUAAUUCAUGGGAAACAGUCACCAAAGAAGUGCCAGUAUUAGAAAUCCAAGAGCCAUUUCUCUAGCUUCUUCCAGAAUCAAGACUUUAGAGGUAAUUUCUAUCAACACUGGACAUUUCCUGUCUGCAAUUAACAAUGAACACAUAGCAUUAUGUUUAAUUGCAACCUGUUUAAAGCAGAUUGGAUGCUAAGGUUUAAGAACACUCUUCAGUCAAAAAGGUCUUUUAAUCAGGUUUUUAAUCUUGAGCACAAUCUAGGACACAGCAUCAUAGACUAACUCAUUCGAGAAUAGGUGUUGUCAUCUAAUCCUAACCACCCCCACCACCAACAAGCUGAAUAGCUCUGGGCUCAGUAUAUACAUUUGUACUGGGCUCAGUACACACACCUAAGCUGGGUUCAGUAUAUGCCACUUUAUAGUGAGAGGCAUUUUGUAAUGAGAGCUCUGGGUUCACUAUAUACAUUUGUACUGGGCUCAGUACACACAUCUAAGCUGGGUUCAGUAUAUGCCACUUUAUAGUGAGGGCCAUUUUGUAAUGAGAGCUCUAAGGCUCUAAAAUUCUGUGUUUCUGCUAGUUUCUUCCUCAAGAUAAAACUGUGGAACUCAUAGUGAAUUCCCUCUCUUUGGGCAGUUUGAGCCAGGCCGCUAUUUAAUCACAACAUCACAAGUCAGAUUUUUCCUACCUAGUGUUGGCAGUGGAACACACCAGAACUGCUAAGGCCAAGGAAAUCCCAUUUUUUGAAGAGGCUUUCCUUUGUUAGCUUCUCUUUCUAGUAGUAAAGGUAAAAGAAAAAUAGAUGUUAAAGAUAUAAAUAUCUUAGGGGGUUUUUAUUGGUAUAAAUAUUUGUACACAAAAAGAAUAUGUAAUGUAAACUGGAUAUGUAUUUUUUACAUUUUACUUAACCUGAAUUUUACACAAUCUUUGCUUGAAUGCUCC